GAUGAAGAACGCAGCGAAAUGCGAUAAGUAGUGUGAAUUGCAGAAUUCAGUGAAUCAUCGAAUCUUUGAACGCACAUUGCGCCCCUUGGUAUCCCGAGGGGCAUGCCUGUUCGAGCGUCAUUUCACCACUCAAGCCUGGCUUGGUGUUGGGCGACGUCCCCUUUAGGGACGCGCCUCGAAACGCUCUGCGGCGCGGCACCGGCUUUAAGCGUAGCAGAAUCUUUCGCUUUGGAAGUCGGGGCCCCGCCUGCCGGAAUACCUACUUGUAAGGUUGACCUCGGAUCAGGCAGGGAUACCCGCUGAACUUAAGCAUAUCAAUAAGCGGAGGA
rnacentral:misc_RNA from 1 species